rnacentral:misc_RNA from 1 species
GAUGAAGAACGCAGCGAAAUGCGAUACGUAAUGUGAAUUGCAAAUUCAGUGAAUCAUCGAGUCUUUGAACGCACAUUGCGCCCCCUGGUAUUCCGGGGGGCAUGCCUGUCCGAGCGUCAUUGCUGCCCUCAAGCACGGCUUGUGUGUUGGGCCCCGUCCUCCGAUCCCGGGGGACGGGCCCGAAAGGCAGCGGCGGCACCGCGUCCGGUCCUCGAGCGUAUGGGGCUUUGUCACCCGCUCUGUAGGCCCGGCCGGCGCUUGCCGAUCAACCCAAAUUUUUAUCCAGGUUGACCUCGGAUCAGGUAGGGAUACCCGCUGAACUUAAGCAUAUCAAUAAGCGGAGGGA